rnacentral:rRNA from 1 species
UACGUAGGGUCGCAAGCGUUGUCCGGAAUUAUUGGGCGUAAAGAGCUUGUAGGCGGUUUGUCGCGUCUGCUGUGAAAUUUCGGGGCUCAACCCCGAACUUGCAGUGGGUACGGGCAGACUAGAGUGUGGUAGGGGAGACUGGAAUUCCUGGUGUAGCGGUGAAAAUGCGCAGAUAUCAGGAGGAACACCGAUGGCGAAGGCAGGUCUCUGGGCCACUACUGACGCUGAGAAGCGAAAGCAUGGGGAGCGAACAGG